AGAGCUGUGGCUUAGUGGGUAAAGCACCCGCCUGCCGUGCCGGCAUCCCAUAUGGGUGCCAGUUCAACUCCUGGCUGCUCCA
rnacentral:tRNA from 1 species